UACGUAGGGUGCAAGCGUUGUCCGGAAUUAUUGGGCGUAAAGAGCUCGUAGGCGGUUUGUCGCGUCGGCUGUGAAAUCCCGAGGCUCAACCUCGGGCCUGCAGUCGAUACGGGCAAACUAGAGUGUGGUAGGGGAGACUGGAAUUCCUGGUGUAGCGGUGAAAUGCGUAGAUAUCAGGAGGAAUACCGGUGGUGUAGACGGCUCUCUGGACCGCAACUGACGCUGAAACACGAAAGCGUGGGUAGCAAACAGG
rnacentral:rRNA from 1 species